GGUGUGUCUGCAUGAAUUUUUGACAUUUUAAUGCAGUGGUAAAUUAUUGUGUAGUGUUGGCAUAUGAAUGCUGAAAUGUAUGCACAUAUACAAGCCACACACACAUACAUAUACACAUGCACAUACAGACACACUGACUCACAUCCAGAUACACACAUGGUCACACAUACAGAUACACAUACACAGGUACAGACAUGCAGAUACAGAGACACACAAAGAAAUACACAG